rnacentral:rRNA from 1 species
CAAACUGGAGAUGGCGACCGGCGCACGGGUGAGUAACACGUAUCCAACCUGCCGAUAACUCGGGGAUAGCCUUUCGAAAGAAAGAUUAAUACCCGAUGGUAUAAUUAGACCGCAUGGUCUUGUUAUUAAAGAAUUUCGGUUAUCGAUGGGGAUGCGUUCCAUUAGGCAGUUGGUGAGGUAACGGCUCACCAAACCUUCGAUGGAUAGGGGUUCUGAGGGGAAGGUCCCCCACAUUGGAACUGAGACACGGUCCAA